rnacentral:tRNA from 1 species
CGGGAUGUAGCGCAGCUUGGUAGCGCAUCUGCUUUGGGAGCAGAGGGUCGCAGGUUCAAAUCCUGUCAUCCCGACGA